rnacentral:rRNA from 1 species
UACGUAGGUGACUAGCGUUGUCCGGAUUUACUGGGCGUAAAGAGCGCGCAGGCGGUCGUUCAAGUCGAGUGUGAAAGCCCCCGGCUCAACUGGGGAGGGUCAUUCGAUACUGAUCGACUCGAAGGCAGGAGAGGGAAGUGGAAUUCCCGGUGUAGUGGUGAAAUGCGUAGAGAUGCGGAGGAACACCGAUGGCGAAGGCAGCCCCCUGGGUCGACACUGACGCUCAGGCACGAAAGCGUGGGGAGCAAACAGG